UACGAAGGGGGCUAGCGUUGCUCGGAAUGACUGGGCGUAAAGGGCGCGUAGGCGGAUGGCACAGUCAGAUGUGAAAUUCCCGGGCUUAACCUGGGGGCUGCAUUUGAUACGUGUUGUCUAGAGUGAGGAAGAGGGUUGUGGAAUUCCCAGUGUAGAGGUGAAAUUCGUAGAUAUUGGGAAGAACACCGGUGGCGAAGGCGGGUCUCUGGGCCGUAACUGACGCUGAGGAGCGAAAGCGUGGGGAGCAAACAGG
rnacentral:rRNA from 1 species